CAUUAGAUACCCGGGUAGUCCCAGCCGUAAACUAUGCGCGUUAGGUGUAUCGGUGACCACGAGUUACCGAGGUGCCGAAGGGAAACCGUGAAACGUGCCGCCUGGGAAGUACGGUCGCAAGGCUGAAACUUAAAGGAAUUGGCGGGGGAGCACCACAACAGGUGGAGCCUGCGGUUUAAUUGGACUCAACGCCGGGAAGCUCACCGGAUAGGACAGCAGAAUGAUUGCCGGGCUGAAGACCCUGCAUGACUAGCUG
rnacentral:rRNA from 1 species